AUUGAGAAGAAGGGAAAUUUUGUUUAUUUCGGAAAUUGAGAGAGAGCCGCGUGUCUCGAGGAGUAGAGUCAUCAGCGUCUUCUUCCUCCGAUAAAUUCCUCGUCAUCUCGUCUCAAAUUCCUUCAUACUCCCAUUCUUACUCAGCAUAUAAACUACACUACCCAGAAAUUCAAGAGAUUGAAUAUCAAAAACCAUAGAAAUAAGUAAGAAGUAAGAAGAAGCUAAGGUUCAAUCGACGGAGAGAAGAUGGUGACUUGACAAUCUUUCCGGUGGAGUUCCAGCGAGCGGGGUAUAGUGUUAGAAAGCCCGUUGUAGAAGCUUUGAUUCAGUGGAAAUUUCUACCCGUUUGAUUUGGUGACGAUUCCUCGAUUAUGUCAAAGAUAUUCAGCCUACUGUUAAUUUCAUAAUCCGAUUUGAGGUGUUGAGAUCGAGGAACCAUAACUGACGAGUACUAUUGAUUGGACCAAGACUCAGGUGCAAGCUUGAAUGAAACAGGGGAUUUCCCGUCCGAGUAGCUGCCUUGUUUAUAUUUGUAAAAUAGUUGUUCGAUUAAGUUAAGAAUAACUGUUGUCUUGUAUUGUAAAUAUCAGCAUUUGAACUUAUUUAUGUUAUAGUAUUGUAAUCUCGUAAGCUAGAAGCUGAUGUUAUAACUGUUCGGAACCUUUGUACUUUACCUUGCUAGACGUAAGGUUGUCGAUAAAUAAAUCAUACAUAUUUUUAUGAGGUA